UCAACGGUUUUACUAGAAACCAAAAAAUAUCUAAAAAACUUGUGU
rfam:Lodderomyces elongisporus NRRL YB-4239 supercont1.3 genomic scaffold, whole genome shotgun sequence.